rnacentral:lncRNA from 1 species
AUGGAGCAGCGACCUCCAAGAAUUCCCAAGCUGGCCUGGGUGGAGGAGGAGGAGAAGGAGGAAGAAGAAGGCCCUGGAGCUGCCCCAGAUGUAGAGACGGAAGAGGUGCAGGAGUUCCAGCCGCUGGAGGAGGGAUGGGAGAGUGUUGGAGAUCUGGAGCAGCGACCCCCGAGAGUGCCCAAGCUGGCCUGGGUGGAGGAGGAGGACGAGGAAGAGGAAGAAGGCCCUGGAGCUGCCCCAGAAGUAGAGAUUGAAGAGGUGCAGGAGUUCCAGCCGCUGGAGGAGGAUUCAGCCAUGGACCAGACACAAGAGCAGGGCCUUGCCUGUGGCCUCUUCCAUGGAACAGCACAGGAAGAGACCAGCGUCAUGGGCACUGGGUCCAUGGAAGAUGGUGACGUCUACACCAGCGACACCAGUGCUGCCAUGCUGGAAUUCAUUUUGGAGGAGGGUGUUUCCAUUCCAGAGCAAGUAAGCAGCCUGUGGCCAGGGGUUGAUUCUCCAGGGAUCGCUUGGCCUCCCAAGCCACGCCUGCUGAUCACU